CAGAAACAGUUUCGACCCAUGGCAGAGGUAUCUUUUCCUCGCUAACUCCAGCCCUGCGAAAUACAGAGAAAAGAGGCCUCUGCUAGCAUGCUAGCAGGGAAGUUUGACGCACAUUGCGCAUGCAUAACAUCAACUACAAAAAAAAAAACUCACGCGCUAGCAGCAAUGCUUGAAUAGAAAAAGUUUUAGUACAGGUUGAUCUCAAAGGUUUAGAGCAAAUAUCUACUUUUUUAGGCAAAUACCACGGUAGUCCUUUCAGCGUUGGCUAAUGUUUGUCCAGCUCAUUAUGUUGGCUAUUCACAAGCAGUACUCCUCCCCCGACAAAUCCUUGCUACGUGCCUAAAGAGAUUUGUCAAUGAUGUCCCAUUCGAGGCAGUCUGUACACCUUUUGCUUUUCAUUACCGAGAAAUACGCAUUCAUUUUAGCCAAAAUUACAAAGAUUUACGCCGAUGUACUGUCAUUUGAGCGAAAGUAAAAUCAUUCGAACUAAAAGGAAAUACAUUAACGAAUUUUACAUAAUUGAGUGCACACAAUUGCAUUUUCUUCACAUUCAUUUACACUAUUCGACAACCAGGAAUAAAAAUCUAUUAAAAUAAAUUAUACUAGUUCUCAAAAAUCCCCCUUCGAUCAUUUCGCCGUUGAGGCAGCGUGGUAGAUAGGUUUGCAUGAACCUAUACCAUUCGGCACAUUUUGGCAGUGUGAUGGUGUUGAUGUUUCGUUGAAGCGCUUCCAGGGUUAAGAAACGGACUGUAGGGCGGCAAAAUUUUUGUUUCUGUAUUUGGGCCCGGGUUAAAACGGCGAAAUGAUCGAAUAUUAAUUUUUAGCGCUAGUAUCAUUUAUUUUGACUGUAUGUGCAUUAUAAGGGCACAAAAAAACGAGAAGUAAUUGAAUAAUUAUUUUAGGAUAUUGCUUGUCAUAAAGGGCUUAUUGUUUGUACGGAGGCGCUAACGUUUAUAAGAAGCAUGCAAAUGACUUUCACAAAAUACUAUUGUUUGCACUUGCUGUAAUAAAAAUAUUAAUGAAUAUUUCUUUCACUGUAUUGAUUGCGAGUUCUCGUAUUAUUGAUAUUUUAUUUGUGCUAUUGUUAUGUACCAACGCGCAAAUGAAAAUGGAUUUUUCAUUCCUGGUUGUCGAAUAGUGUAAAUGAAUGUUAAGAAAAUGCAAUUGUGUGCACUCAAUUAUGUAAAGUUCGUUAAUGUAUUUCCUUUUAGUUCGAAUGAUUUUACUUUCACUUAAGUGACAGUACAUCGGCGUAAAUGUUUGUAAUUUUUGGCUAAAAUGAAUGCGUAUUUCUCGUUAAUGAAGAGCAAAAGGUGUAAAAGUAUCCGCGAAAUUAAUUGAAGUCAAGUCCCUAUUUGAUUACAACGAAAUAUGCUAGUCUAGAUUGCUUUAGAAAGGGGAGAAAUAGAAGUAGUUGACAUUUUAAGAGGAAAAACAGAAUGAGAUUGUAAAGCUAAAAAUUGAAAGGAUUGAUAAUUGAUAUUGAAAGGCGGUUUAUCACAAACAAAAUUGUUUGCGGCAUUUUAUUUCAGUUAAAAAAAAACGUUUUUAUAGGUAUAGGUAAGUUAAAAUAAAGUUGAAUGUUUAUGCACCAAAGCAAUCGACAGUAUGCUUAUUGUUCUCGUUGCUCUUUGUAGUUGUUUUACUGAUCGAUGAUAAUUAUCGGAACACAAUGACUGCACACGCUUGACGUGCGACCACGCCCUCGUCGCGAUCGAGUGCCCCAUAUUUCGUGCUGUGCAUGUCUAUCCUAUCCUGUCCUGACAAUAGAGCAAGUCUCCGAGCAUUUACACGGAACAUGCUAGAUCAAUAAUUCGAGCUCUGUCUAUCAUUAAAAAGUGCAAGCUCUCCGGGCGAAAAAAGGCCAUUCCAGUCUGUCGACAAGCAUCGAGGGAAAGAAAGACCGUACAAAGUAGUACAGAUUGGCCAUUUUGACUAUUACCUAACUUUGGAGUCGCUAGAAUCCUGAGCAGUAAAUACUAGUGCUUUGGUAUACGAUGGAAGAAAAUCUUAUUAUAAUGAUCGCCACUGUAGCGGCCGUGCUCGUCUUCUGUUUCAUCCUACUUCUCGCCUUCCUCUGCUUCACUCGAUACAAGCAGAACAGGGCUGAAGAGGAUAGGGAGAGAAACUCGGACGUCAUUCUUCGCGAGAAGCGGCGAGGCUCAGAGGACCUUAUGACUGGGAGGACGAUUCCAUUCGCCAAUCGCAACUCGCUGAAAGAUCACGGAGUCCUUAACCCCGCGUAUCGAACAGAGAGUGCAGAGGUGGAUAGUAACUUUAAUGAAGGGGCGAGUGACCUCAGUACGGGACACAGCCGGAGUAAACGAUUUAGUGACUUUGCUAUAGAGAAGGCCCAAACUUCUAUGCACUUUUAAACUGCUCGCACAGAAAUACAUAUUGUGCAACCUUAGUAAUACGGAUAACCUUAAAAAGAUAACAAGUCUACAUCUACGAUUAUUUUAGUGUCCGUAUUAGCAGAGGGCCGUACAUGUGGCAGAGAAGAAACAUAAAGUGUUCAUAAAUACUGGGUCCUUAAGCCAGGUUGACCUGGCUUGACCUCCAUGGAAGAAAAGAAAUGCAGCGAUCUUGUAACAACCAUCCGAGUCGCCUGCUAUUACUUCAUUAUUUAUGGAAGGGAGCGAACUAGUAAGGGUGCAGCGAACCAGUGACGACCCAAGUUACAGUCGAGUGUUUAAAAACGUGAAGUGAGCCCGAAGAACUAACUCGUUGAGAGUUAAUGUGGCGGGGCGCAAUUUACUAAUAUACCGAUACUUGUUCAAUUGAUAAAUUCCAUUAAAGGACUAUAGGGUUCCAGUUGUUUCAAAUAACUUAGCCUGCUCUAAGAAAACGUUGUAACGAAGAAUACAUACUUCAAAUUCCAUGGAUUAACAAUAUUGCAAUUAAUCUGCCGUUGUGAUAAACCGGUGUCCAUUAGUCAUUAUGCUUUGCAUUGUUUUAUUGCAUUAAAUGAUUUAAGGCUGGAAGUGCCAUCACGUA